rnacentral:rRNA from 1 species
CAGCGAAAUGCGAUACCUAGUGUGAAUUGCAGAAUUCCGCGAAUCAUCGAGUCUUUGAACGCAAGUUGCGCCCGAGGCUUGUCCCGAGGGCAUGCCUGCCUGAGCGUCACCGCACUCCCACCCGACGAACCCUCGUCGCGAGUGGAACUGGCCGUCCGGGGUCGGGCGUCGAUGCCCAGCGCCGCGGUCGGCUGAAAUGGAGCGUUCUGGACGUAGCCGGAGAGGGGGACAGCGAGAAGGUGAUCCGCUCUCGGGCGGAGUCUAUUUUGACAGCGUCUCUCGAUCCGGAGGGUCCCACGGAACUCGGAGCGGGAACUCGUCCGAUCGAUCGUCCGCGGUCGGUCGGACGAGUCACACCACGGCUUUGACCUCAGAUCAGGCAAGAUUACCCGCUGAGUUUAAGCAUAUCACU